rnacentral:rRNA from 1 species
CGCCUGGGGAGUGCGGCCGCAAGGCUAAAACUCAAAGGAAUUGACGGGGCCCCGCACAAGCGGCGGAGCAUGCGGAUUAAUUCGAUGCAACGCGUAGAACCUUACCUGGGUUUGACAUGGAUCGGGAGUGCUCAGAGAUGGGUGUACCUCUUUUGGGGUCGGUUCACAGGUGGUGCAUGGCUGUCGUCAGCUCGUGUCGUGAGAUGUUGGGUUAAGUCCCGCAACGAGCGCAACCCUUGUUCACUGUUGCCAGCACGUUAUGGUGGGGACUCAGUGGAGACCGCCGGGGUCAACUCGGAGGAAGGUGGGGAUGACGUCAAGUCAUCAUGCCCCUUAUGUCCAGGGCUUCACGCAUGCUACAAUGGCUGGUACAGAGAGUGGCGAGCCUGUAAGGGUGAGCGAAUCUCGGAAAGCCGGUCUCAGUUCGGAUUGGGGUCUGCAACUCGACCUCAUGAAGUCGGAGUCGCUAGUAAUCGCAGAUCAGCAACGCUGCGGUGAAUACGUUCCCGGGGCUUGUACACACCGCCCGUCAAGUCAUGAAAGUUGGUAACACCCGAAGCCGGUGGCCUAACCGUUGUGGGGGAGCCGUCGAAGGUGGGACUGGUGAUUAGGACUAAGUCGUAACAAGGUAACCGUA